GAUGAACGCUGGCGGCGUGCCUAAUACAUGCAAGUCGAACGCGCAGCGAAAGGUGCUUGCACCUUUCAAGCGAGUGGCGAACGGGUGAGUAACACGUGGAUAACCUGCCUCAAGGCUGGGGAUAACAUUUGGAAACAGAUGCUAAUACCGAAUAAAACUUAGUAUCGCAUGAUACAAAGUUAAAAGGCGCUACGGCGUCACCUAGAGAUGGAUCAGCGGUGCAUUAGUUAGUUGGUGGGGUAAAGGCUUACCAAGACGAUGAUGCAUAGCCGAGUUGAGAGGCUGCAUGGGCACAUUGGGACUGAGGCACGGCCCAAACUCCUACGGGAGGAUGCAGGGGGGAAUCCUCCACAAUUGGGGCAAGCCUGAUGGCGCAACGCCGCUUGUGUGAUGAAGGCUUUCGGGUCGUAAAGCACUGUUGUAUGGGAAGAAAUGCUAAAAUAGGGGAUGAUUUUAGUUUGACGGUACCAUACCAGAAAGGGACGGCUAAAUACGUGCCAGCAGCCGCAGUAACAC
rnacentral:rRNA from 1 species